CCUCCCACCGUUCAUUCUGCAUCACCAUAUUGAUUUGUUUGUGAGGAGACUGUGGCCACCUAUUAAAUAUUCACCCGUUGUUUUUUUUUCAUUCUCACCAACACUUUGUCCUAAAAGCAAUUUGUCUCCUAAACUCUUUACGUAAGAGUGCUCCUUUCUGCUCACAAGUUGGAGGAACACGAAAGACAAAUCCUUUCCUUUUGACCGUUCAUUUUUAAAUCUCUGGUUCUUUAGAAUCUCUACAUCCUCUAUAUCUCUUUUGGCUGUUAGAGAUCAUUUAGUGAAGUGCGUCGCUUGAAAUAAUGAUGUGUGGUCUAUAGGGCCUCUCUCGUCUCCACCACUUCUGAUAACUGUCUCUGUGUGAUUCUCUACCCUGAGUUGAGGCAGUUCAGCGGUUCAUAGGAGUACUAUUACUCCUACCCUUGUAAAUGAUCCAUAUAGGAUCAUUCUAUUCUAUUCUAUUUUUUUUUAUACAGUGAAGAUAUCGCACAGCCAGUCAGUCGACAUCAUCCCCACUUUUUCGGAACAAUCUCAAACUUCUCCCGUUCUGUCGUAUCGAUUCGCGAAGGUGGCAAAACUUCUCUCGCUCUCUUUGCCAGUUUUGUCUUUGUUUUGUUUCAGCAUUGUUCAUUGUUAAAAAAAAAAACGGGUGAGAAGUAGCUGAGGCAGAUGAAAGACUUUUCCCUCCUUUCCCACUUAAUGCCCUAACUUCGGUCCCAGUAGAGCGGAGACACUGAACUCUUUUCCGCCGUCAGAGUGAUUGGGUGUGGCUGCUGUGUGGAGGCCAACUUCCAUCCCCUUCCCUAAUUCCAUGCAGGAGUCUAGCUGGAGGAACAGCAGCAGCUGCGUGAGAGAGAAAAGAGGUCCAGAAGAGGGUGCCACUGAUCAAAAUGAUGGACUUUUCCUGGUCGGCGGAGUUUUAGACCUGAUCUGAUGAAGCUGGUAGCUUCAGGGACCGAUAAAGCGCUGGCACAUAAAAGCUUUUCUGCUUCUCUUCAUUCUGGUUGUUCUCAUUGAGAUAACAUCUCCUUUACUAAGCACUAGUCAACCUCAGGGCCAGAAGAGGCCAGACUGAAGAGGAGCCAUUGGACUUUGACUGGAAUAAUAGUAGUUUGUUUGAAAUGUAAGUGUCCUCCGUUAUGCUUGUUUAUUUUGCCGACAGUGUGAUUUGUGCGUAAUUUCCACCUGCGAUUGUAGAAUCGUCAUUAAAGCAUGUUUUGAUAAAGUGCAA
rnacentral:lncRNA from 1 species